UCGUAUACCAGGCGCACAAAACGCACUGGCAGUGGCCGCAUUGUUACAGUUGGAUGAAUGCUCUUAUUGGCUGUCUGCUGUUGCAUUUUUCGGCUUCGGUUUGUAGUUCACUAUUGAUUGCUGGCUCCUCGUACGUAUGGCUGGGCAAAAACAACAAACACGUACACAGAACCUCUUCAGCUGCUGACUGGUUUGUUAGCACUUGUGUCGAAGGGGGGUUUUUAUUUGCUUGUGCUACAGCGCUACGGGCUGGUUAUUGAGCGAGUCACAAUGUGUUCUGCUGUUUUGUUUAUUUUGUGUGUGAAGCGAGGUGAGGCGUCGAGUCGUUCGUUGUAUUUUGGUUGGAUGUGAAUCAGAAGCAGCAGCAGUCAGCAAACCAUGUCAUUUUCUUUGAGGGGGAAUGAAUGGCUGGAUGGAUGGGCUAACAAGGUUGAAAAAUGUAUUGAUACAUUUCAAUGUUCGCGCGUCACAACAAAUGUAAAGAAAAAAGAUAAACUUAAAAACUAAAGAAAAACUAAUAUUUGUCGUGCAAAAAACAAAAAGAGAAAAUAUGGAGCAACUGAUGUAUUCACUUUUGAAUGAUUCCAGGAGUGAAGAGGACUGGCUGAAUGAGGAAUGAGACGAAGAAAACGUAUUGGAAAACAGUGCAAAAUUAGUGAAAGGUUGGCUGUCUUCCCAACUUGUAGCAUUAAGUCUUCUAGCAGACUUAACAUUAAUUUAACCGGCGCCUCCAACCAUGUCAGCUUCUCCGGGGUUGGGAUUUGAGAAAACUCCACCUCUAAAUACUCUUCAACGCAUUCUGAAAACAAAACUUUCUAAAUAAACAGCAUUCAAAAAUAAUUAUUAA